rnacentral:lncRNA from 1 species
AUAUCACAGUCAUCCACUCCAAAGUACGUCAAGUGGGUGUCUCAAAAAUCAUGUGCAAAAGUCAUUGAUGUUGCUUCCUCUAUGAUAUCCUCGAAUGUAUCUAUCUCGAAGCAACUAUUAGUUGAUGGUCCCUGAGAUGCACUGAACAUAUUCAAUCUUAGUUUCUUAUUUCUAAACGAUACGUUCAUGACUCCUAUCCUACAAUUGAUGCACGUAUUUGCCGUA